UACGUAGGGUGCAAGCGUUGUCCGGAAUCACUGGGCGUAAAGCGCGCGCAGGCGGCGAUCUACGUCUGGGGUGAAAGCCCGGAGCUCAACUCCGGGACUGCCUUGGAUACGGGAUCGCUUGAGGAUUGGAGAGGCAAGGGGAAUUCCACGUGUAGCGGUGAAAUGCGUAGAGAUGUGGAGGAACACCUGUGGCGAAGGCGACUCUCUGGUCUGUAACUGACGCUGAGGCGCGAAAGCGUGGGUAGCGAACAGG
rnacentral:rRNA from 1 species